rnacentral:rRNA from 1 species
UACGUAGGUGGCAAGCGUUGUUCGGAAUUACUGGGCGUAAAGGGCUCGUAGGUGGCCAACUAAGUCAGACGUGAAAUCCCUCGGCUUAACCGGGGAACUGCGUCUGAUACUGGAUGGCUUGAGGUUGGGAGAGGGACGCGGAAUUCCAGGUGUAGCGGUGAAAUGCGUAGAUAUCUGGAGGAACACCGGUGGCGAAGGCGGCGUCCUGGACCAAUUCUGACACUGAGGAGCGAAAGCCAGGGGAGCAAACGGG